GCUGCAUUAGCCAUUGCACGAUAAACCAAAAUCUACAUGAAAGAAUAUAUUAAUAUUAAUUAACAUUAGUUGGCUAAUGAGCCUCUUUACAUCCAUUUGAUUUUCAAAGCCAAUUGAUUAAACAAAUCCACAAAUCAGUUAUAAACACCAACCUUAUAUUUGACUCUUGGAUUUUUCGUUGACUUAAACCUGAGUGGAAAUAUUUCAUACAAUUGUAGUAAGCUUCUUGAUCUACUCUGGUGUUGAAUCUAGAUGCUAAAAGGGACCAAUUCACAAUCAUUGGACAUCUAAUAAGUUAUCUCAUCAUCCACUAGAUAUAGAAAAAGUGAAAAAUAGACCUAACUUAUCAUCAGAUAAACUAUCAAUUUGGUCCUUCAAUUAUAGAAAUAUAAUAACAGUUUUGGGAAAAAA
rnacentral:lncRNA from 1 species